GAUGAACGCUGGCGGCGUGCCUAAUACAUGCAAGUCGAGCGAACGGACGAGAAGCUUGCUUUUCUGAUGUUAGCGGCGGACGGGUGAGUAACACGUGGAUAACCUACCUAUAAGACUGGGAUAACUUCGGGAAACCGGAGCUAAUACCGGAUAAUAUUUUGAACCGCAUGGUUCAAAAGUGAAAGACGGUCUUGCUGUCACUUAUAGAUGGAUCCGCGCUGCAUUAGCUAGUUGGUAAGGUAACGGCUUACCAAGGCAACGAUGCAUAGCCGACCUGAGAGGGUGAUCGGCCACACUGGAACUGAGACACGGUCCAGACUCCUACGGGAGGCAGCAGUAAGGAAUCUUCCGCAAAGGGCGAAAGCCUGACGGAGCAACGCCGCGUGAGUGAUGAAGGUCUUCGGAUCGUAAAACUCUGUUAUUAGGGAAGAACAUAUGUGUAAGUAACUGUGCACAUCUUGACGGUACCUAAUCAGAAAGCCACGGCUAACUACGUG
rnacentral:rRNA from 1 species